rnacentral:rRNA from 1 species
AUUGAACGCUGGCGGCAUGCUUUACACAUGCCAGUCGAACGGUAACAGCACUUCGGUGGCUGACGAGUGGCGCACGGGUGAGUAAUACAUCGGAACGUGCCUAGUAGUGGGGGAUAACUACUCGAAAGAGUAGCUAAUACCGCACGAGAUCUAAGGAUGAAAGCAGGGGACCUUCGGGCCUUGCGCUACUAGAGCGGCUGAUGGCAGAUUAGGUAGUUGGUGGGAUAAAAGCUUACCAAGCCGACGAUCUGUAGCUGGUCUGAGAGGACGACCAGCCACACUGGGACUGAGACACGGCCCAGACUCCUACGGGAGGCAGCAGUGGGGAAUUUUGGACAAUGGGCGCAAGCCUGAUCCAGCAAUGCCGCGUGCAGGAUGAAGGCCUUCGGGUUGUAAACUGCUUUUGUACGGAACGAAAAGCCCUCUUCUAAUACAGGAGGGUCAUGACGGUACCGUAAGAAUAAGCACCGGCUAACUACGUG